GGCAAUGUAGCCAAGUGGUUACGGCGCUGGCCUGCUAUUCCCCUAGGGUUUAACGUUAGCCAGUCUCUUCGGAGGCGCAAGUUCGAAUCUUGUCAUUGUCG